rnacentral:lncRNA from 1 species
AGAUUGGUCUGGAAAGAUACGGAAGAUAAGCCUGAAUGGGUUAAGGAUUUGGAUGCUGUAAUGGGGGAAAGGGAGGAUGUUGAGAACCCUUUAUCUUUGCUGAAGGAUCCUUUAAUGGUUGAGCCUCUUGGAAGUUGUGGGCGCAAAAUAAUGCUGUGGUGGCUCCGCGUUGAAGCACGGGCAGACAGUAAAUUCCCUGCCAGGUUAGUUGUCUAGCGCUAUCUUGACUACAUGUAGCGUCACUUUUUGAAUAUUCUUAGCGUUGAAUAUUAUAUUCGUUGUUUCUAACAUUUCUUUAUCACUCUUUUGUAAGUUUUUGAUCACCUAGCCAUAAAUGUGGCCGUGCUUGUUUCAAGAUUGUCAUAUGUUCUUAAAACAUGACAAAUCCUCGUAGGUUGCCGUAUCUGUUUUCUUUUUCUUUUUGAUAAUGUUCUUAGGGCUCGUUUGGUGCUGAAGGAUCCUUCAAUGGUGGAGCCUCUCGGAAGUUGUGGGCGCAAAAUUAUGCUGUGGUGGCUGCGCAUUGAAGCACGGGCAGACAGCAAAUUCCCUGCCAGGUUAGUUGUCUUGCGCUAUCU